UACAGAGGUCCCAAGCGUUGUUCGGAUUCAUUGGGCGUAAAGGGUGCGUAGGCGGUGCGGUAAGUCGGGUGUGAAAUCUCGGAGCUUAACUCCGAAACUGCAUUCGAUACUGCCGUGCUUGAGGACUGGAGAGGAGACUGGAAUUUACGGUGUAGCGGUGAAAUGCGUAGAUAUCGUAAGGAAGACCAGUGGCGAAGGCGGGUCUCUGGACAGUUCCUGACGCUGAGGCACGAAGGUCAGGGGAGCAAACGGG
rnacentral:rRNA from 1 species